rnacentral:rRNA from 1 species
ACUCAAAGGAAUUGACGGGGGCUCACACAAGCGGUGGAGCAUGUGGCUUAAUUCGAGGCUACGCGCAAAACCUUAUCCCGGGCUUGACAUGCACGGAUUAGCCGGCGGAAACGUCGGUGAGGCCGCAAGGUACAACGUGCACAGGUGCUGCAUGGCUGUCGUCAGCUCGUGCCGUGAGGUGUUGGGUUAAGUCCCCUAACGAGCGCAACCCCUGUGUCUAGUUGCCAUCAGGUCACGCUGGGCACUCUAGACAGACCGCCGGCGUCAAGCCGGAGGAAGGCGGGGAUGACGUCAAGUCCUCAUGGCCCUUAUGCCCGGGGCCGCACACGUGCUACAAUGGGCCGGACAGAGCGUCGCCACCUCGCAAGAGGGAGCUAAUCGCCCAAACCGGCCCCCAGUUCGGAUUGCGGGCUGCAACCCGCCCGCAUGAAGCCGGAAUCGCUAGUAAUCGCGGAUCAGCACUGCCGCGGUGAAUGGGUUCCUGAGCCUUGUACACACCGCCCGU